GAUGAACGCUAGCUACAGGCUUAACACAUGCAAGUCGAGGGGCAGCAUGAACUUAGCUUGCUAAGUUUGAUGGCGACCGGCGCACGGGUGAGUAACACGUAUCCAACCUGCCGAUGACUCGGGGAUAGCCUUUCGAAAGAAAGAUUAAUACCCGAUGGCAUAGUUCUUCCGCAUGGUAGAACUAUUAAAGAAUUUCGGUCAUCGAUGGGGAUGCGUUCCAUUAGGUUGUUGGCGGGGUAACGGCCCACCAAGCCUUCGAUGGAUAGGGGUUCUGAGAGGAAGGUCCCCCACAUGGGAACUGAGACACGGUCCAAACUCCUACGGGAGGCAGCAGUGAGGAAUAUUGGUCAAUGGACGAGAGUCUGAACCAGCCAAGUAGCGUGAAGGAUGACUGCCCUAUGGGUUGUAAACUUCUUUUAUACGGGAAUAAAGUGAGGCACGUGUGCCUUUUUGUAUGUACCGGAUGAAUAAGGAUCGGCUAACUCCGUG
rnacentral:rRNA from 1 species